AGGCUCUGCAAACAAGAUUGGGAGGAAGGACAUGGUUGCAAGAUCUCCUGAGUGAGAAGGGGUGCUCUUAUAUGGGGCAAGAGUUCACCAUCUUCUCCAGUGGGCAGGAACAGCCUACCGUAAAUGUGGAUUCUCUGAGGUGCCAAGGCAUGGCUUUCACUCAGGAACCACCAGUAACUCCACGCAGAACCAUGACUGCGCACAGAUCUACUCUAAGAACGUGGGAGAAGAGGUGAUGAGAUCCUGGAGACGGAUGGCAUGGAUUCAAACUUCUCCAAGAACAGCGCCAUCUCCUCAAGCAAAGAGCCUUAGGUCCACCAAACAUGAGUCUUGGAUAAAAGCCUGGGAAGGCAGCUGGCAGGAUGGAUGCAAAACUUGUUCUCUAAGGACAAGAAACAGGGAGCCCCCUGAAUAUUUAUGCCCAGAAGGAUACAUUCCAGUUCACACAGUGGGAAUGAAGUGAUGGAGCUCGGCGGUGGCAUUUACGAGAAUCACCCAGGGAAGCCCUGCGCCAGGCCCGUGCGCUGAAGAGAGCUUUAGAAAGACCGAAGGUAAGGGGCC